rnacentral:ncRNA from 2 species
AGAGUGAAAUAGUACGUGAAAUUGUUAAAAGGGAAACGAAUGAGACCAGUAAUCUCAGCAGUUAAUCAGCCAACUGGACGUAGUUCAGAGUUGUUUGGGGAGUGUUAAGCCCCCAGCAAUUCUGUAACUGCGUCUUACUGGUGCACUUGGCUGCUGAGGAGUCAACAGCAGUUUGGACUGAUGGACAAACUCCAGCGGGAGGUAGCCACCUUGGUGGUGUUUAACCGCUGGAUGUACACAUCGGUCUGGACUGAGGAUCGCAGGGUGCCUUUUGGCAGGGCGACCUAGUGCUGUUGAGUACUUUGUCUUAGGCCAGCUUGCUGACUGAGAUGAUGCUACUUAUCAAUCGCUGGGCUCCGCUACAAUCACCCUUAGGUUGUUGACGAAAUGGUCUUAUCCGACC